ACGGUGAUAGUCCAACGGUAGAGACAAACGGUUUAAGCCCGUUCCAGUGUGAGUUCGAAUCUCACUCUCCGUA
rnacentral:tRNA from 1 species